AGCUGGCCACAACGUUCUCCUUCUCCAGGGAGGCUUGUGAAAAGGCUCUAGAAAAAUCUCAGAAGAUAUAUUUCUUUUCGUGGAUUGGAGUCCCAAGGUGCUUCUGAGCUCUUCAAUUUGUUAAUGGAAAGAAACACCAUUUACACUGGAUGGCUACAAAGCAACUUUAUUCUGGCUCACUCACAAGGACGUACACGCAAUGGAGAAGAUGAGCAUCAACAUACAGAUGAUACCACCUCCCCCAGAAGACUUGGAAUUUUCUCUAUACAAGGAGACCCCCAGCUGGAGGACCAGAGAUUGAUCUGAGGCCCAGAUUCCCA